GACGAACGCUGGCGGCGUGCUUGACACAUGCAAGUCGAACGGAAAGGCCUGCUUUCCCUUGUGGAUUGCGGGUACUCGAGUGGCGAACGGGUGAGUAACACGUGAGUGAUCUGCCCCCAACUUGGGUAUAAGCCUGGGAAACUGGGUCUAAUUCCCGAUAGGACUGCAGGGUGGUGCCCGUGGUGGAAAACGAUUUUCUAGUGGUUGGGGAUGAGCUCGCGGCCUAUCAGCUUGUUGGUGGGGUAAUGGCCUACCAAGGCGGCGACGGGUAGCCGGCCUGGGAGGGUGGACGGCCACAUUGGGACUGAGAUACGGCCCAGACUCCUACGGGAGGCAGCAGUGGGGAAUAUGGCACAAUGGGCGGAAGCCUGAUGCAGCGACGCCGCGUGGGGGAUGACGGCCUUCGGGUUGUAAACUCCUUUCGACCGCGAGGAAGCCACCUGGUUGGAAGGGUGGUGACGGUAGUGGUAGAAGAAGCACCGGCUAACUACGUG
rnacentral:rRNA from 1 species